rnacentral:rRNA from 1 species
AGAGUUUGAUCAUGGCUCAGAGCGAACGUUGGCGGCGCGCUUAACACAUGCAAGUCGCACGAGAAAGGGGGCAACCCCGAGUAAAGUGGCGCACGGGUGCGUAACACGUAGGCAAUCUUCCCUCGGGAGGGGGAUAACCCUCCGAAAGGAGAGCUAAUACCGCGUAAGACCACAGUCGCUUCGGCGACAGGGGUCAAAGGUGGCCUCUACUUGUAAGCCACCACCCGGGGACGAGCCUGCGGCCCAUCAGCUAGUUGGUAGGGUAACGGCCUACCAAGGCAAAGACGGGUAGCUGGUCUGAGAGGAUGAUCAGCCACACUGGCACUGAAACACGGGCCAGACUCCUACGGGAGGCAGCAGUGGGGAAUAUUGGACAAUGGGCGAAAGCCUGAUCCAGCGACGCCGCGUGGGUGAUGAAGGCCUUCGGGUUGUAAAGCCCUGUGGGCAGGGAAGAAAACGUUGCGGUCGAACAGGCCGCGACCUUGACGGUACCUGCUCAGAAAGCACCGGCUAACUCUGUGCCAGCAGCCGCGGUAAGACAGAGGGUGCAAACGUUGCUCGGAAUUACUGGGCGUAAAGCGCGUGUAGGCGGAUUGGUGUGUCGGAUGUGAAAUCCCCAGGCUCAACCUGGGAACUGCAUUCGAAACUGCCAGUCUUGAGUGGUGGAGAGGGAAGUGGAAUUCCUGGUGUAGAGGUGAAAUUCGUAGAUAUCAGGAGGAACACCAGUGGCGAAGGCGGCUUCCUGGACACCAACUGACGCUGAGACGCGAAAGCGUGGGGAGCAAACAGGAUUAGAUACCCUAGUAGUCC